rnacentral:rRNA from 1 species
AUUGAACGCUGGCGGCAGGCCUAACACAUGCAAGUCGAGCGAGCGGCGGACGGGUGAGUAAUGCCUGGGAAACUGCCUGAUGGAGGGGGAUAACUACUGGAAACGGUAGCUAAUUCCGCAUACCAUCAGAUGUGCCCAGAUGGGACUAGCUAGUGGGUGGGGUAACGGCUUACCUAGGCGACGAUCCCUAGCUGGCCUGAGAGGAUGACCGGCCACACUGGAACUGAGACACGGUCCAGACUCCUACGGGAGGCAGCAGUGGGGAAUAUUGCACAAUGGGCGAAAGCCUGAAGCAGCCAUGCCGCGUGUGUGAAGAAGGCCUUCGGGUUGUAAAGCACUUUCAGCGGGGAGGCGUUACCCGCAGAAGAAGCACCGGCUAACUCCGUGCCAGCAGCCGCGGUAAUAC